CCUACGGGAGGCAGCAGUGAGGAAUAUUGGUCAAUGGACGAGAGUCUGAACCAGCCAAGUAGCGUGAAGGAUGACUGCCCUAUGGGUUGUAAACUUCUUUUAUAUGGGAAUAAAAUGUUCCACGUGUGGGAUUUUGUAUGUACCAUAUGAAUAAGGAUCGGCUAACUCCGUGCCAGCAGCCGCGGUAAUACGGAGGAUCCGAGCGUUAUCCGGAUUUAUUGGGUUUAAAGGGAGCGUAGGUGGAUUGUUAAGUCAGUUGUGAAAGUUUGCGGCUCAACCGUAAGAUUGCAGUUGAAACUGGCAGUCUUGAGUACAGUAGAGGUGAGCGGAAUUCGUGGUGUAGCGGUGAAAUGCUUAGAUAUCACGAAGAACUCCGAUUGCGAAGGCAGUUCACUGGACUGCAACUGACACUGAGGCUCGAAAGUGUGGGUAUCAAACAGGAUUAGAUACCCCUGUAGUC
rnacentral:rRNA from 1 species